GUAGGUGGGCAAGCGUUGUCCGGAAUUAUUGGGCGUAAAGCGCGCGCAGGGCGGUCCUUUAAGUCUGGGUGUGAAAGCCCACGGGCUCAACCGUGAGGGUCAUUGGAAACUGGGGGACUUGAGUACAGAAGAGGAAAGCGGAAUUCCAAGUGUAGCGGUGAAAUGCGUAGAGAUUUGGAGGAACACCAGUGGCGAAGGCGGCUUUCUGGUCUGUAACUGACGCUGUGGCGCGAAAGCGUGGGGAGCAAACAGGAUUAGAUACCCUGGUAGUCCACGCCGUAAACGAUGAGUGCUAAGUGUUAGGGGGUUUCCGCCCCUUAGUGCUGCAGCUAACGCAUUAAGCACUCCGCCUGGGGAGUACGGCCGCAAAGGCUG
rnacentral:rRNA from 1 species